UGCUAGCAGAUGCGGUAUUACCGAGGGGGUUAGGGUUGUUCGGAAUUAUUGGGCGUAAAGCGCACGUAGUCGGACUGGAAAGUUGGGGGUGAAAUCCCAGGGCUCAACCCUGGAACUGCCUCCAAAACUAUCAGUCUAGAGUUCGAGAGAGGUGAGUGGAAUUCCGAGUGUAGAGGUGAAAUUCGUAGAUAUUCGGAGGAACACCAGUGGCGAAGGCGGCUCACUGGAUCGAUACUGACGCUGAGGUGCGAAAGUGUGGGGGGCAAACAGGAUUAGAUA
rnacentral:rRNA from 1 species